AGGCACGUAGCUCAGUGGGAGAGCACUACCCUGACACGGUAGGGGUCGUUGGUUCAAAUCCAAUCGUGCCUACCA
rnacentral:tRNA from 1 species